rnacentral:pre_miRNA from 1 species
CUAGUACUCCCUCCGUCCGGAAUUACUUGUCGCCAAAAUGAAUGUAUCUAAAACUAAAAUACAUCUAGGUACAUCCAUUUUUUCGACAAGUAUUUCCGGACGGAGGGAGUACAAC